UGGGGACACUUGCAGUGAAAUUGAGGA
rnacentral:piRNA from 1 species